AUUGAACGCUGGCGGCAUGCCUUACACAUGCAAGUCGAACGGCAGCGCGGGGCAACCUGGCGGCGAGUGGCGAACGGGUGAGUAAUAUGUCGGAACGUACCCUGGAGUGGGGGAUAACGUAGCGAAAGUUACGCUAAUACCGCAUACGAUCUAAGGAUGAAAGUGGGGGAUCGCAAGACCUCAUGCUCCUGGAGCGGCCG
rnacentral:rRNA from 1 species